GCCUUAGUGGCGCACGGGUGCGUAACGCGUGGGAAUCUGCCCUCAGGUUCGGAAUAACAGCGAGAAAUUGCUGCUAAUACCGGAUGAUAUCGCGAGAUCAAAGAUUUAUCUCCCUGAGGAUGAGCCCGCGUAGGAUUAGCUAGUUGGUGUGGUAAAGGCGCACCAAGGCGACGAUCCUUAGCUGGUCUGAGAGGAUGAUCAGCCACACUGGGAGUGAGACACGGCCCAGACUCUUACGGGAGGCAGCAGUGGGGAAUAUUGGACAAUGGGCGAAAGCCUGAUCCAGCAAUGCCGCGUGAGUGAUGAAGGCCUUAGGGUUGUAAAGCUCUUUUACCCGGGAUGAUAAUGACAGUACCGGGAGAAUAAGCUCCGGCUAACUCCGUGCCAGCAGCCGCGGUAAUACGGAGGGAGCUAGCGCUAUUCGGAAUUACUGGGCGUAAAGCGCACGUAGGCGGCUUUGUAAGUUAGAGGUGAAAGCCCGGAGCUCAACUCCAGAAUUGCCUUUAAGACUGCAUCGCUUGAAUCCAGGAGAGGUGAGUGGAAUUCCGAGUGUAGAGGUGAAAUUUGUAGAUAUUCGGAAGAACACCACUGGCGAAGGCGGCUCACUGGACUGGUAUUGACGCUGAGGUGCGAAAGCGUGGGGAGCAAACAGGAUUAGAUAUCCCUGGUAGUCCACCCCGUAAACGAUGAUAAACUAGCUGUCGGGGCUCUUAGAGCUUCGGUGGCGCAGCUAAGCGCAUUAAGUUAUACCUCUUGGGGAGUGCGGCCGCC
rnacentral:rRNA from 1 species